rnacentral:rRNA from 1 species
AUUGAACGCUGGCGGCAGGCCUAACACAUGCAAGUCGAGCGGAGCGGCGGACGGGUGAGUAAUGCCUAGGAAUCUGCCUGGUAGUGGGGGAUAACGUCCGGAAACGGGCGCUAAUACCGCAUACUAUCAGAUGAGCCUAGGUCGGAUUAGCUAGUUGGUGGGGUAAAGGCCUACCAAGGCGACGAUCCGUAACUGGUCUGAGAGGAUGAUCAGUCACACGGGAACUGAUGCGCUGUUCAGACUCUGACGUGAGGCCGCAGUGGGGUAGAUUGUACAAUGGGCUUAAGGUUUAUCCAGCCCUGCCGCGUGUGUGAAGAAGUUCUUCUGUUUGUAAAGCUAUUUAAGUUGUGAUGCGUUACCAAAAGAAUAAUCACCGGCUAACUUCGUGCCAGCAGCCGCGGUAAUUC